CUGGGAGAGAAGGUGACAGAGAGACGGGGAGAGAAGGUGACAGACAGGGUGAGAAGGUGACAGAGAGACUGGGAGAGAAGGUGACAGAGAGAUGGGGAGAGAAGGUGACAGAGAGACAGGGAGAGAAGGUGACAGAGAGACGGGGAGAGAAGGUGACAGAGAGACGGGGAGAGAAGUUGACAGAGAGAUGGGGAGAGAAGGUGACAGACAGGGAGAGAAGGUGACAGAGAGACUGGGAGAGAAGGUGACAGAGAGACUGGGAGAGAAGGUGACAGAGAGACGGGGAGAGAAGGUGACAGAGAGACGGGGAGAGAAGGUGACAGAGAGACAGGGAGAGAAGGUGACAGACAGGGAGAGAAGGUGACAGAGAGACUGGGAGAGAAGGUGACAGACAUGGAGAGAAGGUGACAGAGAGACUGGGAGAGAAGGUGACAGAGAGACGGGGAGAGAAGGUGACAGACAGGGUGAGAAGGUGACAGAGAGACUGGGAGAGAAGGUGACAGAGAGACGGGGAGAGAAGGUGACAGAGAGACAGGGAGAGAAGGUGACAGAGAGACAGGGAGAGAAGGUGACAGAGAGACAGGGAGAGAAGGUGACAGAGAGAUGGGGAGAGAAGGUGACAGACAGGGAGAGAAGGUGACAGAGAGACAUCCUGAGAGUUUACAGUCAAUAUGGUAGGAUAUUUAUGAGUUAAAUGAACCAUGUGUGACAGAGAGAGAGGGAGAGAAGGUGAGGAAGUUAAAGCGAGGGAAGAGAAAAGAAGAACUUCCAAAGAGGAGAGUUCAAGACUAAAGAAACACAAAUAUAUAUUAUAUUCAG
rnacentral:lncRNA from 1 species